GCUGAAGCCGAGGACGUCGCCAAAAAGUGGCGGAAUGCUCUCGAAACCAAUUCACUUGAGUGAGACAGAGGAGAGUGGAAUUUCGUAUGUAGGGGUGAAAUCCGUAGAUCUACGAAGGAACGCCAAAAGCCAAGGCAGCUCUCUGGGUCCCUACCGACGC
rnacentral:ncRNA from 1 species